CCGCUAAUAACACAUUUCAGCUUCCCUUCCCCCAUUGCCUUUGCUUAAAACGUUAAUUCACUCACCUUUUUCCAGCGCUGCACCGAUCUUGCUGUGGUUGGCUCCACCCCUUUCCAACUUCGUGGAUCAUUAAAUUUGAGGAUUUCUGCCAAUCCAAUGCUUUGCCAUGGGAACCAGAACUGUCUACAGUGUCCAUUUUAAUGCUAAUUCCAGUCAGAAAUCUGUCAACCCAACCAAAUGUGCCUAAAUUGAUAUCGGGGGCAUAUCUACUAAACACAGAGUAGUCACAGGCUGCUAACUAACUAGAAACUAGCAACUGGGCAUCUAUUUCCCAGUGUGUAGAAAGGGAUCUGUUACUGGGGGGUAAUUUAUUACAGGUCCUCCUGUACCCUCACAAACAGGAAUAUAGGGGAGGGAGGUUUAAAUUCAAUAAUGCGUGUGGACAUGUCAUUGCCAGAGGCUGCUCGCUUUAAUUUAAAACUAGCGAUUGGGCAACUAUGACUG